rnacentral:misc_RNA from 1 species
GGGUCCUCAGGUGGCGGAGGGGUCGUGCCGUCCAGGUAGGCGCAAGGGUCGCGUCGUCCUCUGGGUUCACCUGGUCAGUUGUCGAGGUGUCUUCACGUGAGUCGGACGUGUUGAUUGUUGAGUGUCGUGCUCAGGUGUUACACGUGUGAUACGUUCUUAGAGUUUGAUAAAGCAUAUUGUAUAUUGGUUAUAUCAUAUUGAAAUAUAUAUAAUUGAACAUAGCCUGAGUUACAUCUUCCUGUCUCAUAGAAUAAUUAAUAUGUAUUGGUUAAUU